AUGUUUCAUCUCCAAAAUUCAUGAACUGCUUGAAACCCCAUAAGCUUUGGGAUAUCGAAAUGGCGACAGCGCACUGGCCGAAGAAGCAAUAAAGAAGCAAGCUUGAAUCCGCUGACACCUCCACGCCCACGAAAGCCGAACUUCUCAUCAUACAGCAGGGGACAAAAAUGCAAAUUUAGGGUUCCAAGGGGAAGAGAGAAUGGCUGCUACUGCUACACUACUCUCACCCACUUCUUGCUUCUCCAAUCCCCAUCAUACUCUCGGUGGUUGUAGAAAUUUCAAGGCCAAAACCUUUCGUUUGCCUGCUCUUUCACCCCCCACAAUCCAAAUUACCCAGAUUGCUGGAGAGAAGUCUCCAAGGUUGCAGCAAAGAGAUAAUUUGGAGUUUCCUAGUGAUGUUGAUUAUCAAAUUGAGAGGGAUUGGGCAGAUUUAAAUGCUGAUAUUUACUUCUGGACAAAGUCUCUCCGUCCUGUUCAGUGGUACCCGGGUCAUAUAGCUAAGAGUGAAAGGGAGCUUAAAGAACAACUUAAGUUGAUGGAUGUUGUCAUUGAGGUUCGGGAUGCGAGAAUUCCGCUUGCCACUAGUCAUCCACAGAUGGAUUCUUUGAUUGGGAACCGGAGGAAAAUUAUAGUUUUGAACAGAGAAGAUAUGAUAUCAACUGCAGACAGAAACGCAUGGGCUAUGUAUUUUGCAAGGCAGGGAACAAAGGUUGUUUUUGCUAAUGGGCAGCUCGGAAUGGGCACUAUGAAGCUUGGAAGGUUGGCGAAGUCAUUAGCUAUUGGUGUGAAUGCCAAACGUAGAAGCAAAGGACUCCUUUCUUGUCCGGUUCGUGCUGGAAUAGUUGGAUAUCCAAAUGUUGGCAAAUCUUCUUUGAUCAACCGUCUAUUAAAGAGGAGAAUGUGCCCUGCAGCUCCCAGACCAGGAGUCACAAGAGAAUUAAAAUGGAUUCGUUUUGGGAAAGAUCUGGAGUUGCUAGAUUCCCCUGGCAUAUUACCAAUGAGAAUCAGUGAUCAAGUAUCUGCUAUAAAGCUGGCAAUUUGUGAUGAUAUUGGGGAGAGAUCUUAUGAUGUAUCGGAUGUGGCUGCAAUUCUCAUACAGAUGCUGAAGAGAAUUCCAUCAGUCGAUUUCAUAUCAAUUGGAGUUGCUGGUCUAAUUUGCGGUAAAUCACAUUUUCCCGGGUAAAGGAUCAUUAUUUUCAUUGGAAGAAGGACAAAAUCUAGAAGCAUCAGCAUGACUUGAAAAUAAGGGAAUACAUAUGUUUCAAGAAAUUUUUCUUGAUUCCCAUCAAUUUGUGUUGCUGGUCUAAUUUGUGAGAAAUUGCAUUUUCCAAGAUACAGGACAAUGAUUUUCAUGGGAAGAAGGACUAAUUCUACAAUCAUCAGCGUGACAUGAAAAUAAGGAUCAAGUGCCAUUUACAGCCGCUAUAAGAUGGAUCCAGAUGGACUCUGCGGUAAAACAUUUGUGGACAAGAUUGCACUACAGUUAU